rnacentral:tRNA from 1 species
AGAAAGAUAAGCUAAUUUAAGCUAAUGGGUUCAUACCCCAAAAAUAGAGGAUUUAAUACUCUUCUUUCUA